rnacentral:rRNA from 1 species
AGAGUUUGAUCAUGGCUCAGAACGUACGCUGGCGGCACGCCUAACACAUGCAAGUCGAACGAAGUAGCAAUACUUAGUGGCAGACGGGUGAGUAACAUGUAGGUAUCUGCCCUUUGGCCUGGAAUAACACGAGGAAACUUGUGCUAAUACCGGAUAAGUCUUUACGGAGAAAGCUUUAUGCACCAUUGGAUGAGCCUGCACUUGAUUAGUUUGUUGGUGGGGUAAUGGCCUACCAAGACUGUGAUCAAUAGCUGAUUUGAGAGGAUGAUCAGCCACGUUGGGACUGAGACACGGCCCAAACUCCUACGGGAGGCAGCAGUGGGGAAUCUUGCACAAUGGAGGAAACUCUGAUGCAGCGAUGCCGCGUGAGUGAAGAAGGCCCUUGGGUUGUAAAGCUCUUUCGUCGGGGAAGAAAAUGACUGUACCCGAAUAAGAAGGUCCGGCUAACUUCGUGCCAGCAGCCGCGGUAAUACGAAGGGACCUAGCGUAGUUCGGAAUUACUGGGCUUAAAGAGUUCGUAGGUGGUUGAAAAAGUUAGUGGUGAAAUCCCAGAGCUUAACUCUGGAACUGCCAUUAAAACUUUUCAGCUAGAGUAUGAUAGAGGAAAGCAGAAUUUCUAGUGUAGAGGUGAAAUUCGUAGAUAUUAGAAAGAAUACCAAUUGCGAAGGCAGCUUUCUGGAUCAUUACUGACACUGAGGAACGAAAGCAUGGGUAGCGAAGAGGAUUAGAUACCCUCGUAGUCCAUGCCGUAAACGAUGUGUGUUAGACGUUGGAAAUUUAUUUUCAGUGUCGCAGCGAAAGCGAUAAACACACCGCCUGGGGAGUACGACCGCAAGGUUAAAACUCAAAUGAAUUGACGGGGACCCGCACAAGUAGUGGAGCAUGUGGUUUAAUUCGAAGAUACGCGCAGAACCUUACCAACACUUGACAUGUUCGUCGCGACUCUAAGAGAUUAGAGUUUUCGGUUCGGCCGGACGAAACACAGGUGCUGCAUGGCUGUCGUCAGCUCGUGUCGUGAGAUGUUGGGUUAAGUCCCGCAACGAGCGCAACCCUCACUUUUAGUUGCCAUCAUUAAGUUGGGCACUCUGAAAGAACUGCCAGUGAUAAGCUGGAGGAAGGUGGGGAUGACGUCAAGUCCUCAUGGCCCUUACGUGUUGGGCUACACACGUGCUACAAUGGUAUCUACAACAGGAAGCAAGACUGCGAAGUUAAGCAAAUCCCUAAAAGAUACCUCAGUUCGGAUUGCACUCUGCAACUCGAGUGCAUGAAGCUGGAAUUACUAGUAAUCGUGGAUCAGCGUGCCACGGUGAAUGCGUUCCCGGGUCUUGUACACACCGCCCGUCACACCAUGGGAGUUGGUUCUACCUUAAGGCAAGGUUUUAAACCCUUGACCACGGUAUAGUCAGCGACUGGGGUGAAGUCGUAACAAGGUA